UACGUACAUAACAGCAGCUCUACACUGAGAUUGCUACUGAAGAUCUGCUGCCUUUCAGAAAUAUGAUGAGGGUAGUCCUUUGGAGUUAUGACUCAUGCCAGGAUUGUCUAUUUUUCCUCUUCCUAGUGGAAAGGUCUCAUUAAAAGGCUUCCCCUCCUAAGGAUUCCCCGUGAGCAUGCAUGAAGCAUGAGCGGCAUGGAGAGGGAGCAACCUCCCAGAAUAAGGCAUCUUUGCACCUCUCUUGUGCUUGUGAAACUGACCACUAGGACUGAUUAAUACCAGUCAGCUGCUUCGAUCCAGUUGCUCAGUUCCUACAGUCUUCUGCUGGUGGCAAGCAGACACCAGGCGACGAGACAAUACAUGUAUUGUCUGAAAUCCAGUGGUCAGGAGGUCUAACACCAAAUACUGCUGAAGAGACAGUCAGAUCAAGACCAUAGCCUAAACAGUGGAAAAGGACAGAGAGAGAGAUAUGCCAAUAAAAGCAAGGUAAAUAUUUGUCAGCAGUACAAAGGUGUGGGUCAGACUGGUGAAAACACACAGGGUGAGAUGUAGGCAGAAAAAAGAUGGGCAAGAGAGAGGAACUUCUUCAGCUGUAUCUCAAAGAGCAGCAGGAUUAGAGAAAGUGUCUACAGGCUGCAAAAGGAGAAGUCUUGCACAGACCUAGAAAAGCUGGAGGGCUUGAUAAAGCAUCUUAAUCCCUGUGGAUGAUUUACGUAAAUGCUAUAGGUGAAUUCCAUAUGCAUCAGGCAUGCCUGGUCUUUACAGAGCGAUUCAUUGUUGCCCAUCAGGAGAAUCUCCUGUUGUGUUUUUCAGUAAUGUCCCAUGUCACCAUUAAAUUAAAAAGUGAAGCCCUGUUUGAAUCCAUGGUUGAUGAUAUUGGAGUUGCUGCUCAGACCAGACUGUUUCUCAUUACACUUUCCUGAAAACAUCCCACCAGAAUCCAUCCUUUUAUAAUGUUGGGGUGGCAGUGGCCAAAUUCAAAGGGAGUGCUGCACGUAACAAAGCUAGCCUGGAAAGCUGACAUAAAAAAAGCCAGAGCCCCUGAUGACUCAGGCAUUAAUGUACUCCACUUCAUUAGAAUAAGCUGCUAUCUGAUAAAUGUGCUCACUCCAGAUAUACAGAAGCAAGAGCUUUUAAUUUUAUGCAGCCACUUUACUGGGGGCUGACAGUACCAAGAAGAAAAUUGGUUAAACACAGAUACAUCUGCAGCAUGUCCAACAUGCUGAGGAGUGACUUAGAGCCAGGAGGAGCUCUGCUACCAUUGCAGACACCUUGUGUGCUCUGACAUACAGUAGUGACCUGGCUUACUCUCAUCUCUGAAGGAAAAUGUGGGUAUUGUCCUCCAGGGUCAGAACAGGCACCCCUCCUGCCCUGUAUCUUGCCUCUUGCAAGGAUACAGCAUGUCAGGUGGUGGCCUAUGAGUGCAGAGGUGGGCCAGUCAUCUGUCUUCUCUACAUGGGUCUGAUCCUGAGCUCUAAUAGUAUUUGGUUGACAUGGUAAAAAUCUUCAAAAUUGCAAUUUUGAAAGCCACUAAUGUUGCCCUAUAAAACUACAAUCCCAUUCUGCAUCUUUCUAAGCUCCUGUCUUGAAAGGUUUCUUGUGGCAUUGAGCACCACGCUCCACUUUACACAAGGCAUGGAAAUGUUUUCCCUGCUCUUGGCAUGAAAAAUUCAGUCUUAACAUCCCUUCAUAUCGCUGAAGACAAGAAUAGCAGAAACUCUCCAUCUGCUUUCUCUGCAGUGUUCAUUAUUUUACAUAUUUUUUAAUAUUCCUUGCUUCCUCCAAGGAGAGCUUUUCCUUGAUGUUUGUUUGUUCCUAUCAUUGUUUAAUGCUGCUCUUUUAGAGACAAGAUUACCCAAUACACUCAGGGUUCCUGGGGGAUCUGCCCCUCUGAUUUUAUUUAAUCAUUAUUUUCCCUCAUAUUCAUUAUGGAUCCCAAAACCUUGUUUAUUUUUUCACUUGUAGUAGAAGCUGAGCAAAGGUUUUCUGUGAAAGUUUCUGAAAGCUAGCAGUAAGCCUGCAAGCAAGGAGCUUCUAAAACGCUAGGGCAUCGCAAGAAAGAAGCUCAGACAGAGAUAACUAGAGAUAACCCAGCUUUUACAACAGCUGUCUACCAGUUCUGCCACUGAGCAGUAAUACGCAUUUCCUUACCUAUUAUUGUCUCUUGCACUCUCUCAUAUAUGGGAGAAUGUCAAACUACUUUGUUCUUUUUACUGCUUAUUUUCUACAUCACAAAACCCACUGUUUCCCGUUUCUUU